UCAUGCCACACACCAAGUAUGCAUACUAUGUUUGUCUAUGAUCUUUACUUUGUGAACUAGAUCAAUUGAACAUAACUUCAAUGAUUCUCUUUUCACACUCCCAAAUCCUCACUGCAAAUGCAAGAAUUCCAAAUUCAUGCCAUUUACUAAAAUCUGUUAGAUUCUAAACUUAUAUGCAUUGAAACUCUUGUAAUGAUUAUACACAAAGCCAGAAGGACUUGACAACAACCAUUACAGAGCAUUCCAAAGGAGAUCAGCUCCUUGGGAACAUCCUUCUUGCAUUAAGUUUCCUAAUCUUACACAGAUUGAAUAAAUUCUAACUUUGAAACAUUUCCAGAUUCCAUUUUGACUAUCACUUCUGAACAUGAGUUGCCUCCUUACAGAUUAUGUCAAUAUGGUCCUUCCAGAAUUAUCACUAUACUUCCAACUGUCCUUGAGCAACCAAUCUUUGGUAAACCUUAGAUUGUCCUCGACAAUUGUUUAAUCCUUUUAGUCAUAUCCAGUUCUAAACCUUUUCCCUUCUUAAUGCCCCAGGCAUUUGGAAAAUUUUAGAACGGAUGAUUAUAGCACAUGUAAUCGAUCCUAUAUCCGAAGCAUAUGGGACACGAUUCAUGAUGUCUUACAUAAAGACUAAACCAGUCUUUUGCUAUAACAUUUCCAUUUCAAUUUGCCAAGUUCUCAUAAUUCAGAUUAUGAAAAGGGAUGCCGUAAUCAUAAUCGAAUUUUAGAACGCAAAUAAUGGACCCAUAUACAGAAUUUCCUUAUGUUGAGCCAUUCCAACAUGAAAUUCAUAUAUAUCCUUGACUAAAUGAUUAAAACCUCACGAUCUAAGCUUAUAGAUUUGAGAUGAAGCAUAAUUUCCUCUCCCUUAAUUAUAGCAAAACAACUUUUUCCCAAUUGAAACUUUUGUUUUCUAUAAUUAACAUUGCUAACUUGCAAUACUUAUCAUAAUUAUCAUGCUCCCACUAACAUGAUGAUUAUUAGCAUAACACUUAUGCUCCCACUAGCUUUGACAUGUACUCAGAAAUCAGCUGGACUUCUAGAAAUCAAUACUUCAUUGACUUUCUUACCAAAGUUCAGAUUUCUGAUGCUAGAUUGUUUUGAUAAAACUUUAUCAAAAUCAUACACCUUCCCUUAGAUAGCACACUUGUGUAUCUAAACAAUUAUGAAGAGGGAUGCCGUAAUCAUAAUGUUUAGACCUUUUUGCCACUUCUCACAAGUCCAAAUUAGUGUGCCGGUUAACCACACGCGCUCCACUAACGACUUUGAGAAUGCAAAUAUCACAAUUGCUAUCUAGCUAAAAUCUACUUAGUGAAAGUGUUUCCUCACCAUCAUUUUCAUGAAUCGGAGAGAAACCUUAUGACACUUAGAUUUAAUGGUGUAUGUGUUCUUAUCCAUGUGAAUUGUCAAAACCAUAGUCACAAGACAAGGAUAAUGACAAAUCCAAACUCAUAUGGACUGAACUCAAUCUUAAUUUCUUGCCACCUGGCAGCUCAAGGGCCUACCAUUGCUUCCAAGUUGUUGUGCAACAAAUUGAGAACUCUAAGAACUCAUAUGCAAAGCCAACUUUAACUGGAAUGGGCACAGAAUAUGUCAACACGAUAGGUUAUGAACCUCAAGUCGUGUGCUAGUGAAGAACUUCAGGUUUUAUUCUUGAUUAGUUCUUGAGACUUUCAAGACCUUUAAGACUCCCACUGUCCUCUUGACAUAUAAGACUCCCUUGUCAAACAUCCAAGAGAUAGUGCGGAUUCUAAUCAAGAAAAACACUUUACCCAAUUGGCCUAAGUUGGUCUUUGUUUUAUCCAAAACAUCACAACUUACCAAUUUCAAAUGUACAAGAGUAGAAAACUUUUACUCUUACAUUUGACAAGUGUUUUAAACCUUCUUUAAGACAUGUCACUCAAAUGACAAUCUUGGAGUAUGACUCUAAGACUUGUAUUGGAACGAAGUAUGACUCAUCUUCUUGAUUUAACCAUUUCAACAAUUCAAGUUCCUCUUCUUAGUCAUAAGAAUGCACUAAGAUUUCCUUAGAGAACUAAUUUUGAUAUGGUUUCUUAAUCAUUAAGAUGAUCACAAAACUGAUACUAAAGUACUCUCCCAUCUUUUCAGAUUUGAGAAACUUUUAUCCUUCUGCCUAAUUUGAUUCUUCUUAUUCGCCCUGCCAUACAUUGGAACCUUUUCCAAUGUCUCAGAGUUACACUUAAGCUUGUAAGUAUAAUCAUAUUUACUGAGCUUUAGUAAACUAUGACGAAUAGUCUUAUCAAUCUUUUGUGGUGGACUUAAUCAGUGCACAAGAAUGUGUACUCGAUCCCUUAGUCCUUUACUUGACUCACACAUCCAUGUGGCCGAGUAAUUAGUCUUAAUUUUCCAAAACUUGAAAGUUCUCAUUCAUCAUGCUAUACAACUUGCAUGAUUCCAAGUUCCGGUCCAAUUGAAACUUGGGUGAUGAGAAUCUUUCCUUAUUUGGUAAAUCUAGACAUUACCACAAAUGAAAGAAUCAAUUUCAUAUUUCCACUCUUGCUCUUAAUGGAAUCAUAUAAGCAACAAUUUUUCCUCAAAUGCCAUUGUAAGGAUAUUUUAAAAUAAAUAAAAUCAAAAAUUUUCUUUUAUUUUAAAACUUUGCGGAAAAACUUAUCCUUACAAUCCAUAUGAAAACUUGUUGUUAUCUAUUCCUAAGCAAUAUCUCAUAACUCCUAAGAAGUUGCUCAAGAAUCCGAUCUUCAAACUAUGCGAUAGAAAUCCAUCUACGCCAUCAGAUUCAGCAUAUUCUUUCUUUAAGUUUCUUCACUUUUCUUUGAUUCUUAAAACAUCACCAUGUGACCCAGUCACAUCAUGUAUCAGGAAUCUCAGAAUAGAAACUUAACAGAGUUAGAUAGUGGACUUUACCUGAAGUAGAGUCAAACUUAUUGACUUUAACAUCCUUAGGUAAAUUUGGCAGCUUCGCAACCAAUGCCCCUUCCUUUGGCAAUAUAAACAUAUGGACCCUUUGAUAAUGGUACACGAGACUAUCACAGACUUAGCUUUUCUCUUUACCAUUUGGUCAACCGAGUUGACUAUGGCCGAUCCCUUUCCAUUGGGAAGAGAAUGCUUUACUGGAUAUCCAAUGUCAUCAUUGUCAAUGUCCAUAAAGUUUUAGGAAGUUGAUCUUAGCAAAUAGAUAAGAUCAUUAAGGGUCUUGUCAUAGUCUGUUUCAUAGGUGUCCCAAAGGAACUCACUAUGUGACUUAGAAAGUGAUUGAACCACCAACUUUCUCAAGACUUUGACACCCAACUCUCCCGGCUUGUCAAUAUGUGACUACAUCUCCAAGAUGUGAUCACACCUAGACCUUGCCUUGCCAAUAGGGCUUGAGUGACCUUAAACUUUUCAAGAACUUGUGGGUUAGGGAGAAUAAUUGGAGGAGGAGAAAGAAGUAUGAUAUCCAUGGGACAUCAUCUUCAUUAGGAAACCUUGUUUCAAGAGAUUUGGGAAGAUCAUAGGUGUCUAAACCAGACAUCUUUUGGGAGAUAUUCAAGAUAGUUGAUUUAAAGUCCUUAAUAUGACACCCAAUAUGAAAUAUUAAGGCUAGGACCCAACAAACUAUUUUAUAACUUAGAAGAGGUAUGCCGUAAUCCAAGCUAUAAAAUAUUUGAAGGUAGGUGAAUGACGAUUCACCAAUUUCCACCAAGAUAAACGAAAUGUAUUAUUAGGUUUUAAUUGGUUUUGAAACUCCUAGAUCUUUGAGAUUCAUUGAACUGUUCAAAGGCAUGUUUCAAUCUCGAGUGUGCCCUUCAGGUUUUGUGACUGGGAUGCCGAGGAUCACAAAACAAGGUGUGAAGUAACCAUGCAAAUCACUUGGUACCCUUAAUAAAUUACCCCUCAAUCGAUGUGCCGGUUAACCACACACGCUCCAUCGAUACUAUGAUAAAUAUUAAGUCACCCUUUACCUACCUUGUUAAGUCCAAGUUAGUGUGCCGGUUAACCACACACGCUCCACUAACGACUUAGACAAAGUGUAAAGUGUAAUUUCAUGGAUUAGCACCUUAUUCACAUUUUUCCUAAGUAACUAAGAUUGGGUAUUAUUAAGAGUUUAGUUACUUAGUAUUAUCAUUAAUACUUUUAAUGAAGGGAGAAUUCUAGUCCUGUCAAACCCGUUCGGCUAACGACCCUCCACCAGUCAAGCAAGCGGUGGGUGAGAGUGGACACCCAUUAAGUUGCCAUUUUAUAGGCAACAACCUUAUACCCACCUUAUAGACCGGCUUCGUGAAUGAGGCGUACUAGCGGUAAGACUGACUUUACUCUUAUACAUAUAUAUAUUAUUAACUUAUAAUAUUAUAAAGUAUAAGGGUUGAAUUUUAACUUUUAAAAUUCUAAGGGCUAACUUGGAAUUAAAGUAUUCAUAAGUGAAAACUUUACAAAUUCCAAAACUUGAGGGCAAGUUUUGAAACUAUUCAAAACUAAUUAAUUCCAUAACUUAUGUGUUUAAAGUAGUUUUAAUCCAAAAACUCUUCAAGUUCCAUAACUUGAGGACAAGUUAUGGAAGACUUUAAACUAAUAAAAGAAUUAACUUUUCUUUAUUUUAUAACUUAUGGAAUUAAUUAAGGUUACACUUUUUUUUUUUUUAUUUUAUUUUAUUAAAUGAAGAGACUCUUGGUCCUCCAUAACUUGAGGACAAGUUAUGGAGUCAUAAAACCAUUUAAUUAGAACUAGACUCUUCAUUUUUGUAACCUUUGCCAAUUUUUAUGAGUUUUAUGAUUCUUAAAUGUGACUUUUCAUAUAACUUGAGGACAAGUUACAAAAACACAUUUUAGAAUCAAUUCUUAGAUUAAUUUGGAUUAAAACCAACUAUCACAUAAUUUUAUUCAUUAAUCUAAAUUCACUCAUAAAACAAGGUAACACAAAAAACUUUUGGUGAUCCAUAACUUAUUCUUAAGUUAUGGAAUCCUUUAAAACAUUAACACCAAAUUUUGUAACUCCAAAAAAACUUUGAAUCAAUUUUUUUUUUAAAACCUUUUCAUAUCCAUAACUUAUGGAGGUUUCAAAAAAUAAAACUCUUUAGAUCAAACUUUUAAAACUAAUAAAAUAAUCAUAUUAUUUUAUCUUUUAUUAAAUUUGACCUAAUUCAACUCAUAAAGCAAAUUAUUCAAAUUUUACAAAUAAUUAGUUUUUCACAAGAACAAGUAAUUAUCUUAAAAUUUGACAAACUUCAUGUUUUUUUUUUUUUUUUUUUUCAACUUUGAAAAUAAAAUAUUUGCAUCAAUAUAACAGAAAACAACCCGUGGCUCUGAUACCACUGUUGGGUUUUGAGCAUUCUAACACUUCCUAAGUGUACAUGCAACCCUAAAUACCUUGGAUCUAUGUUUUCUCUAUUAUACAUGCAAAUAAGAACUUCCAAGGUAUUAUCCUAAUCUAGCAUACAAAACAAUAACUAUAGCAAGAUAGAAUACAUACCUCUUUGGUGUAGAAAGUCUUCAUGAAGCUUGAGUGCCUAGUGCCCCAAGUGUGACACCUCAAAUGGAAUCACAAUCAUCAAAACACUUAGAAUGACUUGAGAGAAUUCUACACUCAUCAAAAUCGGCUAGCCCUUUCUUCACUAUCUCUAGUGGCCGAUUUUUCCUCAAUAAUAAGAUGCUUAUAUAGUUACACAAUUAGGGUAAACUCUUAAUUGUCAUGGCUUUCCAUUUCCUUGGAUCCAUGGGUACAAAUACACCAUGGAGCAUCCAUGGACCAUCCUAUGGGUUUUAGCCCAACUUGAUUAUCCAUGGAGCAUUAGCCCACUAUACAAGUAUGGAUGAUUUACACAAUCAACCCAUAUAUUUAAUUAGUCUUCUUUUGAUCACUUAAUUAAUCCUAGAUUAAUUCUUGAUCAAUACUAAUUAAAUAAUCUUAUUAUUCUUAUUAUUAAUAUACUAGAACUUAUAAUAUAUUAAUAACCAUAAGUGUCUUAUUUCUCUCAUUAUAGUCUAUCCAAGUGCAUGAUGGUAUGCAACCCAAAUGGACCAUGCCGGGUCGGGUCAAGUCUUACCAAUUAUAGUUAUGGACUUAGACAUUAAUCCAACAGUCUCCCACUUGGAUAAGUCUAAAACUAUUAUUGCGUAUGACUUCAGGAACCAACUGGCAAUCGUAGCUCUCAAAAGCUUCUGUCGAACUCUGACCUUGUAGAUGAACUCUGACCUUUGUCAAUGACUUGUCCAUUAGAUAAGGGAUCAUAUAUUCCUCCAUUCUAGAUAUCAUAUGGACUGAGACAUGGAUUAUAAUCAUUCUCUCUGUCCAUUUGUUGUUUCCCGAUUUCCGAUUUAUGACGACUGACUAAUUGAACAAAUCAAAUCAGUCCUGGCCCGGCCGAGCACUUCCAUUUGUCAUCAUCAAAUCAUCGAGGGGCCCACAGAUAUCGCUUUUAUCCCGAAGGUAAAAGGAACGGAUAAACUUCGACUCAUAUGGCUUGUUCUACUACUUGUUGAAUCAUACACAAAGGCACGUUUUAUAGCACCGAGUUACCAAAUGCGUUUUCGUGCAAUCAAUGUACUAUCAACUCAUAGUAACAACUCAUAUCUCUAGGUUUGAAGAAUAUAAGAUAUUAUCGUCUCAUGAUCACUCGUGAUAAAAUCCAUGAAGUGAUUCCAAUGAGCGCGGGUUGAAUCCAAUACUCAGAACUUAUGAGCACUCAUGAGUGUUGUAGCCCUUUGUCCAACACCUUAGACCUCUACAAGCCAACCCAUGACAGUCUUAAUUCAUAUCUACUUCCAACAUAUGACCGACUGUGGAUGGUUUGAAUAACUUAGUCAUUCCGGAAGAAUAACCUAGUUUAUUCGGGAAGUCAAAACAUGCAAAGUGAAACACAAUAAUAAUUGAAUCCAAUAUGGUAUCAACCCUUUGAACAUAAAUAAAACACCUUUUAUUUAUCACCAUAUGAUUACACAUUAUUCAUUGUAUACUGUUUCAGCUAUCAACUUUAUUCUUGAAUUUAAAACAAUAGUUGUCCCAUGCUCCAAGCAUGUACACUAUGUUUUCUUAAACACUAGUCAUGCCACACACCAAGUAUGCAUACUAUGUUUGUCUAUGAUCUUUACUUUGUGAACUAGAUCAAUUGAACAUAACUUCAAUGAUUCUCUUUUCACACUCCCAAAUCCUUACUGCAAAUGCAAGAAUUCCAAAUUCAUGCCAUUUACUGAAAUCUGUUAGAUUCUAAACUUAUAUGCAUUGAUCCUCUUGUAAUGAUUAUGCACAAAGUCAGAAAGACUUGACAACAAUCAUUACAGAGUAUUCCAAAGGAGAUCAGCUCCUUGGAAACAUCCUUCUUGCAUUAAGUUUCCUAAUCUUAAACAGAUUGAAAAUUCUAACUUUGAAACAUUUCCAGAUUCCAUUUUGACUAUCACUUCUGAACAAGAGUUGCCUCCUUACAGAUUAUGUCAAUAUGGUCCUUCCAGAAUUAUCACUAUACUUCCAACUGUCCUUGAGCAACCAAUCUUUGGUAAACCUUAGAUUGUCCUCGACAAUUGUUUAAUCCUUUUAGUCAUAUCCAGUUCUAAACCUUUUCCCUUCUUAAUGCCCCAGGCAUUUGGAAAAUUUUAGAACGGAUGAAUAUAGCACAUGUAAUCGAUCCUAUAUCCGAAGCAUAUGGGACACGAUUCAUGAUGUCUUACAUAAAGACUAAACCAGUCUUUUGCUAUAAUAUUUCCAUUUCAAUUUGCCAAGUUCUCAUAAUUCAGAUUAUGAAAAGGGAUGCCGUAAUCAUAAUCGAAUUUUAGAACGCAAAUAAUGGACCCAUAUACAGAAUUUCCUUAUGUUGAGCCAUUCCAACAUGAAAUUCAUAUAUAUCCUUGACUAAAUGAUUAAAACCUCACGAUCUAAG
rnacentral:lncRNA from 1 species